rnacentral:rRNA from 1 species
UGCGAGCGUGACGGCGCGAGCAGGUGCGAAAGCAGGUCAUAGUGAUCCGGUGGUUCUGAAUGGAAGGGCCAUCGCUCAACGGAUAAAAGGUACUCCGGGGAUAACAGGCUGAUACCGCCCAAGAGUUCAUAUCGACGGCGGUGUUUGGCACCUCGAUGUCGGCUCAUCACAUCCUGGGGCUGAAGUAGGUCCCAAGGGUAUGGCUGUUCGCCAUUUAAAGUGGUACGCGAGCUGGGUUUAGAACGUCGUGAGACAGUUCGGUCCCUAUCUGCCGUGGGCGCUGGAGAACUGAGGGGGGCUGCUCCUAGUACGAGAGGACCGGAGUGGACGCAUCACUGGUGUUCGGGUUGUCAUGCCAAUGGCACUGCCCGGUAGCUAAAUGCGGAAGAGAUAAGUGCUGAAAGCAUCUAAGCACGAAACUUGCCCCGAGAUGAGUUCUCCCUGACUCCUUGAGAGUCCUGAAGGAACGUUGAAGACGACGACGUUGAUAGGCCGGGUGUGUAAGCGCAGCGAUGCGUUGAGCUAACCGGUACUAAUGAACCGUGAGGCUUAACCUUACAACGCCGAAGGUGUUU